rnacentral:rRNA from 1 species
AGAGUUUGAUCCUGGCUCAGAUUGAACGCUAGCGGCAUGCUUAACACAUGCAAGUCGAACGGUAACAGGUCUAGCUUGCUAGAUGCUGACGAGUGGCGGACGGGUGAGUAACGCGUAGGAAUCUACCUUGUAGUGGGGGAUAACCUGGGGAAACCCAGGCUAAUACCGCAUGAGACCUAAGGGAGAAAGCAGGGGACCGA